rnacentral:tRNA from 2 species
UCCUCAAUAGCUCAAUGGUAGAGCGCCCGACUGUUAAUCGGUAGGUUGUAGGUUCGAGUCCUACUUGAGGAGCCA